rnacentral:rRNA from 1 species
ACUCCGGUUGAUCCUGCCGGACCCGACCGCUAUCGGGGUAGGGCUAAGCCAUGGGAGUCGAACGCCCCGCCGCUGCGGGGCGUGGCGGACGGCUGAGUAACACGUGGCUAACCUACCCUCGGGACGGGGAUAACCCCUCGGGAAACUGGGGCUAAUCCCCGAUAGGCGGGGGGUGCCUGGAAGGGUCCUCCGCCGAAAGGGGCCGCGGGGGGUUAUCGCCCGCGGCCCGCCCGAGGAUGGGGCUGCGGCCCAUCACGGUAGUUGGCGGGGUAAUGGCCCGCCAAGCCUACGACGGGUAGGGGCCGUGAGAGCGGGAGCCCCCAGAUGGGCACUGAGACAAGGGCCCAGGCCCUACGGGGCGCACCAGGCGCGAAAACUCCGCAAUGCGGGCAACCGUGACGGGGCUACCCCGAGUGCCCCCCUUGGGGGGGCUUUUCCCCGCUGUAAGUAGGCGGGGGAAUAAGCGGGGGGCAAGACUGGUGUCAGCCGCCGCGGUAAUACCAGCCCCGCGAGCGGUCGGGGUGCUUACUGGGCCUAAAGCGCCCGUAGCCGGCUCGACAAGUCCCCGCCUAAAGCCCCGGGCUCAACCCGGGGAGUGGCGGGGAUACUGUCGGGCUAGGGGGCGGGAGAGGCCGAGGGUACUCCCGGGGUAGGGGCGAAAUCCAUUAAUCCCGGGAGGACCACCAUUGGCGAAGGCGCUCGGCUGGAACGCGCCCGACGGUGAGGGGCGAAAGCCGGGGGAGCGAACCGGAUUAGAUACCCGGGUAGUCCCGGCUGUAAACGAUGCGGGCUAGGUGUUGGGCGGGCGUGCGAGCCCGCCCAGUGCCGCAGGGAAGCCGUUAAGCCCGCCGCCUGGGGAGUACGGCCGCAAGGCUGAAACUUAAAGGAAUUGGCGGGGGAGCACCACAAGGGGUGGAGCCUGCGGCUUAAUUGGAGUCAACGCCGGGAACCUCCACCGGGGGCGACAGCAGGAUGACGGCCAUGCUGAAGGCCUUGCCCGACGCGCUGAGGGGAGGUGCAUGGCCGUCGCCAGCUCGUGCCGUGAGGUGUCCUGUUAAGUCAGGCAACGAGCGAGACCCCCGCCCCUAGUUGCCAUCCCCGGGGCGACCCGGGGGGCACACUAGGGGGACUGCCGCCGCUAAGGCGGAGGAAGGAGGGGGCAACGGCAGGUCAGCAUGCCCCUAAACCCCCGGGCUGCACGCGGGCUACAAUGGCGGGGACAGCGGGUGCCGACCCCGAAAGGGGGAGGCAAUCCCUCAAACCCCGCCUCAGUUGGGAUCGAGGGCUGCAACUCGCCCUCGUGAACGUGGAAUCCCUACUAACCGCGCGUCAUCAUCGCGCGGUGAAUACGUCCCUGCUCCUUGCACACACUGCCCGUCGCUCCACCCGAGGGGGGAGGGGGUGAGGCCCUCUCCGCCGGGAGGGGGUCGAACCCCCUCCCCCCGAGGGGGGAGAAGUCGUAACAAGGUAGCCGUAGGGGAACCUGCGGCUGGAUCACCU